rnacentral:siRNA from 1 species
UGAAAACACAUGAAGGUGCAA